AGACCCGAAACCCGGUGAUCUAGCCAUGGGCAGGUUGAAGGUUGGGUAACACUAACUGGAGGACCGAACCGACUAAUGUUGAAAAAUUAGCGGAUGACCUGUGGCUGGGGGUGAAAGGCCAAUCAAACCGGGAGAUAGCUGGUUCUCCCCGAAAGCUAUUUAGGUAGCGCCUCGUGAAUUCAUCUCCGGGGGUAGAGCACUGUUUCGGCCAGGGGGCCAUCCCGGCUUACCAAUCCGAUGCAAACUGCGAAUACCGGAGAAUGUUAUCACGGGAGACACACGGCGGGUGCUAACGUCCGUCGUGAAGAGGGAAACAACCCAGACCGCCAGCUAAGGUCCCAAAGUCAUGGUUAAGUGGGAAACGAUGUGGGAAGGCCCAGACAGCCAGGAUGUUGGCUUAGAAGCAGCCAUCAUUUAAAGAAAGCGUAAUAGCUCACUGGUCGAGUCGGCCUGCGCGGAAGAUGUAACGGGGCUAAACCAUGCACCGAAGCUGCGGCAGCGAACGUAUCACCCAAGACAACUUUACACAGUUGACGACUGACGGAGCGAAGCGACGUCAAAGCGUUUUACAACGUCGAGUUGGCUUAGGGAUACGUUCGUUGGGUAGGGGAGCGUUCUGUAAGCCGUUGAAGGUGGCCUGUGAGGGUUGCUGGAGGUAUCAGAAGUGCGAAUGCUGACAUAAGUAACGAUAAAGCGGGUGAAAAGCCCGCUCGCCGGAAGACCAAGGGUUCCUGUCCAACGUUAAUCGGGGCAGGGUGAGUCGACCCCUAAGGCGAGGCCGAAAGGCGUAGUCGAUGGGAAACGGGUUAAUAUUCCCGUACUUGGUGUUACUGCGAAGGGGGGACGGAGAAGGCUAUGUUGGCCGGGCGACGGUUGUCCCGGUUUAAGCGUGUAGGUGUGUGUUCCAGGUAAAUCCGGUUCACUUUAACACUGAGGCGUGAUGACGAGGCACUACGGUGCUGAAGCAACAAAUGCCCUGCUUCCAGGAAAAGCCUCUAAGCCUCAGGUAACAUCAAAUCGUACCCCAAACCGACACAGGUGGUCAGGUAGAGAAUACCAAGGCGCUUGAGAGAACUCGGGUGAAGGAACUAGGCAAAAUGGUGCCGUAA
rnacentral:rRNA from 1 species